UGUACUUGUAUUUUAUUAAAUAUUUCACUGUUUUUUUAAUACAGCUUGUUUGUCAAGUUUUGCUCUUUUGCUCUUAAUCAGUGUUUUCUUGAAAGAGCAACUUAUUUCUAAAUAUUAACUCAUAACUUUUUCCCUUCUUAAUUCAUUAUUUUAAAUCUCUUUCUAGAGUCCUUUUUUUUGUCCACUGGACAAAAGUUCAAAUCCCUGGACAUGUUAGAGGAGAAAAAACAUUUCCACAGCACACCAGGGUAUCAUCUACAAGCCGGCCUCCACAGCAUUGAACCCCAUAGCCAUCAUGAAGGCUCCCACUGCAGCAGAGCUGGCCGCCUGUCAUGGAGUAAGGAACCCCCCCACAGCAUCUGUCACCCGGCCCCACGGAGACUCGGCCCUGCAAGUGGUCAGGACAGCAGUAUUCACCUACAAAGACAAGGACAGAUGAAGGAAACGCUUGAACAACGUGGAACGUUUUGAUCCCAGACAAUGAAACACAAUAAACCCGAUGUUAAUGCACACAAACAAAGUGAAACUCACUGGUUUUAACAAGAACAUAAUAUCCUUCACAGCACUGGUGCCCUGGGAGAGAUGGGAUCAGUUUGCCAUUGCAGCACACCGGGAUGGAAAAAUUAUUCCAACUCAUAUAACUGCCGUCACAACAAUAAUGAUGCAGCUUCUUCGUGUGUAACUGUCCAGUGCAGCAAACCUGUGUGACACAGUCACAUGAAUGGAAGAAAGUACAGUAUGUAAAAAAAUGCAGGUAAAUAAUGUGCCACAUUAAAUCCUUCCAACAGCUACUCUAAUGAGCCAAACGUGAAGCAGAAACUCUUGUCUUUAUUCAUUUAAAUAUUUUAAUAUAAAGCAUCUUAAUUCAACUUUCUUUUCCAUCCAAAUUCUGGGAUGGAACUUAUUGCUAAAUGCACUAAACUGGUGCGGAGAGACUGACUAAAUAUACCAUAUUUUCUGCACUAUAAGGUGCUUUAAAAGCUUUCUUUCUCUCUCAAAAAAGUGCGCCUUAUAAUUCGGAGCACCUUAUAUUUGGAUUCUUUUUGGUUUUGCUAAUUUAUGUCGAUGCAAUUUUGAAUGUUUGUUUCAUCAAAAUGUUAGUUAGGGAUUAUUGUGAAUAUGCUAACAGAUGUAGCGAUAUUGAUUUUUUUUUUUUACCUAUUACUAAAUAUGUUGGGAGUUAGCGUAGUCACAGUAACAUUUGUUUUAGCUGUAUUUGUCUGUUUUGUUUUAUGUGUUGCAAAAAAGUUAGGAGUUACAGUUAUUGUGAAUAAACUAACACCUGCUACAUUGCCAAUGUGUAGUGUGUCACAAACAAGUCAUAGAAUUACUGAACGCAGCUAUUAAAAGCCUGACUGACUGACAAAUUGAUCUGUAACACUUUUUAUCACUUAAUGUUUGGUAUAGUGUGUAAAAUGUGGUUUGUUUGUUAUAAUAAGCAGCAAAAUAGCAUACUAUGCCUGAGAAAAUGGCCAUCCUGUCUGAUCUCUAUAUUUCUAGAAGAGCCUUGUGCCUCUAAUGGAGGAUUAAUUUUUUUGUGAUCUUAAAUAUUGUUAC
rnacentral:lncRNA from 1 species